ACACAGGGAUUGCCUCAGUAACGGCGAGUGAAGCGGCAACAGCUCAAAUUUGAAAUCUGGCCCUUUCAGGGUCCGAGUUGUAAUUUGUAGAGGAUGCUUCGGCGUUUGCGCUGCCUAAAGUUCCUUGGAACAGGACGUCAUAGAGGGUGAGAAUCCCGUAUGUGACCGGCCCGCACCCUUUACGUAGCCCCUUCGACGAGUCGAGUUGUUUGGGAAUGCAGCUCUAAAUGGGAGGUAAAUUUCUUCUAAAGCUAAAUACCGGCCAGAGACCGAUAGCGCACAAGUAGAGUGAUCGAAAGAUGAAAAGCACUUUGGAAAGAGAGUCAAACAGCGCGUGAAAUUGUUGAAAGGGAAGCGCUUGCGGUCAGACUUGGCCGUCGUUGCUCGGAGGGUCCUCGUGUCCCUUCUGUUCUUCGGCGGCUGGGCCAGCAUCGACUCGGGCGGUUGGAUAAAGACUGCGGGAACGUGGCUCCUCUCGGGGAGUGUUAUAGCCCGCGGUGGAAUGCAGCCAGCCUGGGUCGAGGUCUGCGCAUCUGCUAGGAUGCUGGCGUAAUGGCCUCAAGCGGCCCGUCUG
rnacentral:rRNA from 1 species